rnacentral:rRNA from 1 species
GAUGAACGCUGGCGGCGUGCCUAAUACAUGCAAGUCGAGCGAAGCGGGGACGGGUGAGUAACACGUGGAUAACAUCCUAUAUGACUGGGAUUACUUCGGGAAACCGGUGCUUAACCGGAUACUUUUAGCUGGAUCCGCGCUGCAUUAGCUAGUUGGUAAGGUAACGGCUUACCAAGGCAACGAUGCAUAGCCGACCGGAGAGGGUGAUCGGCCACACUGGAACUGAGACACGGUCCAGACUCCUACGGGAGGCAGCAGUAGGGAAUCUUCCGCAAUGGGCGAAAGCCUGACGGAGCAACGCCGCGUGAGUGAUGAAGGUCUUCGGAUCGUAAAGCUCUGUUAUUAGGGAAGCGGUACCUGAACAGAAAGCCACGGCUAACUACGUGCCAGCAGCCGCGGUAAUUC